rnacentral:tRNA from 1 species
GGGCGUUUAGCUCAGUUGGCUAGAGCAUCUCGUUUACACCGAGAGGGUCGGGGGUUCGAGUCCCUCAACGCCCACCA